AAUGAACGCUGGCGGCGUGCCUAAUACAUGCAAGUCGAACGGAGUGGCGCACGGGUGAGUGAUAUAUAGCUAAUCUUCCCCUUGAUGGCGGACAUCAGUUAUACCUGACUGCUAAUACUCCAUAGCAAGGGAUGAGCCUAUAUCGUAUCAGCUAGUCGGGGGGGUAACGGCCUACCUAGGCUAGGACGCGUAACUGGUGUGAGAGGAUGGUCAGUCACAUUGGAAUUGAGACGCGGUCCAAACUCCUACGGGAGGCGGCAGUAGGGAAGAUUGAGCAAUGGGGGAAACCCUGACGAAGCAACGCUGCGUGGAGGAUGACACUUUUCGGAGCGUAAACUCCAUUUGUUAGGGAAGCGGUACCUAACGAAUAAGCACCGGCUAACUACGUGCCAGCAGCCGCGGUAAUAC
rnacentral:rRNA from 1 species